rnacentral:rRNA from 1 species
UCAGAUUGAACGCUGGCGGCAUGCUUUACACAUGCAAGUCGAACGGGUAACAGGCCGCAAGGUGCUGACGAGUGGCGAACGGGUGAGUAAUGCAUCGGAACGUGCCCAGUCGUGGGGGAUAACGCAGCGAAAGCUGCGCUAAUACCGCAUACGAUCUAUGGAUGAAANCGGGGGACCGUAAGGCCUCGCGCGAUUGGAGCGGCCGAUGUCAGAUUAGGUAGUUGGUGGGGUAAAGGCUCACCAAGCCAACGAUCUGUAGCUGGUCUGAGAGGACGACCAGCCACACUGGAACUGAGACACGGUCCAGACUCCUACGGGAGGCAGCAGUGGGGAAUUUUGGACAAUGGGCGCAAGCCUGAUCCAGCAAUGCCGCGUGCAGGAAGAAGGCCUUCGGGUUGUAAACUGCUUUUGUACGGAACGAAAAGGUCUGGGUUAAUACCCUGGGCUCAUGACGGUACCGUAAGAAUAAGCACCGGCUAACUACGUG